UACGGAAGGCAGCAGUGGGGAAUAUUGCACAAUGGGCGCAAGCCUGAUGCAGCCAUGCCGCGUGUAUGAAAAAGGCCUUCGGGUUGUAAAGUACUUUCAGUCGUGAGGAAGGUGUUAAGGUUAAUAACCUUAGCAAUUGACGUUAGCGACAGAAGAAGCACCGGCUAACUCCGUGCCAGCAGCCGCGGUAAUACGGAGGGUGCGAGCGUUAAUCGGAAUUACUGGGCGUAAAGGGCACGCAGGCGGUUAAUUAAGUUGGAUGUGAAAUCCCCGGGCUUAACCUGGGAAUGGCAUUCAAGACUGGUUAGCUAGAGUCUUGUAGAGGGGGUAGAAUUCCAUGUGUAGCGGUGAAAUGCGUAGAGAUGUGGAGGAAUACCGGUGGCGAAGGCGGCCCCUGGACAAAGACUGACGCUCAUGUGCGAAAGCGUGGGGAGCAAACGAGGGAUUAGGAUACC
rnacentral:rRNA from 1 species